AUUGAACGCUGGCGGCAGGCUUAACACAUGCAAGUCGAGCGGGGUGAUGGUGCUUGCACUAUCACUUAGCGGCGGACGGGUGAGUAAUGCUUAGGAAUCUGCCUAUUAGUGGGGGACAACAUCUCGAAAGGGAUGCUAAUACCGCAUACGUCCUACGGGAGAAAGCAGGGGAUCACUUGUGACCUUGCGCUAAUAGAUGAGCCUAAGUCGGAUUAGCUAGUUGGUGGGGUAAAGGCAUACCAAGGCGACGAUCUGUAGCGGGUCUGAGAGGAUGAUCCGCCACACUGGGACUGAGACACGGCCCAGACUCCUACGGGAAGCAGCAGUGGGGAAUAUUGGACAAUGGGGGGAAACCUGAUCCAGCCAUGCCGCGUGUGUGAAGAAGGCCUUAUGGUUGUAAAGCACUUUAAGCGAGGAGGAGGCUCUUUUGGUUAAUACCCAAGAUGAGUGGACGUUACUCGCAGAAUAAGCACCGGCUAACUCUGUGCCAGCCGCCGCGGUAA
rnacentral:rRNA from 1 species